rnacentral:lncRNA from 1 species
AGCCCGCGGGCGCGGCCUAACUGCUCGCCCGCCCGCCCGCUGCUCGCCCCCCGGCGCCCGAGGGUCGCAGUACCUGGGCGGCGGCCUCCAGCUUGCCCUCGAAGGAAAUAGCCAGUUGAAGGGAUGAUCUGAAAACAGUUUUCCCCGAGAAACAUUUAGUUAUCCAAGGUCGCUCCAACCAGUGAAAUCUAGACCUUUUAGGAGAGUGGUUUCAAAGAUUAGAAAGACCGGAUCCCACGAUUGCAUGUUUAAAACAAGAUGCUUCAUUGCUGGGCACGGAGGCUGAGGCAGGAGGAUCAUCAUGGGCCAGCCUGGACUACAGAGGUUUCACUCUAUAGCUAUGCUGGCCUCAAAAUCACUAUAUAGAGCAGCCUGGCACGGAGCCUUCAGCAGUUUUCCUGCCUCAGCCUUACAGGCAGGAGCAGCCCCACCACCAGUUGGUUUGUUUCCCUAUUUUAUUUUCCUUUUCUCCUCCUCUUCUUUUCUAUCUUUCUUUCUUUUUCAAAGACAGGGCCUCACUAUAUAGCCCUGGCUAGCAUGAAAUUAACUAUGAAAACUGGUUGGCACUUAACUCUCAAAGAUCUGCCCAUCUGUGCUUCCCAAGUGCUAGAAUUAGAGUCCUAAACCACCGUG